AUUGAACGCUGGCGGCAGGCCUAACACAUGCAAGUCGAGCGAGCGGCGGACGGGUGAGUAAUGUCUGGGAAACUGCCUGAUGGAGGGGGAUAACUACUGGAAACGGUAGCUAAUACCGCAUAACAUCCGAUGUGCCCAGAUGGGAUUAGCUAGUUGGUGGGGUAACGGCUCACCUAGGCGACGAACCCUAGCUGGUCUGAGAGGAUGAUCAGCCACACUGGGACUGAGACACGGUCCAGACUCCUACGGGAGGCAGCAGUGGGGAAUAUUGCACAAUGGGCGCAAGCCUGAUGCAGCCAUGCCGCGUGUGUGAAGAAGGCCUUCGGGUUGUAAAGCACUGUCAGCGGGGAGGCGUUACCCGCAGAAGAAGCACCGGCUAACUCCGUGCCAGCCGCCGCGGUAAUAC
rnacentral:rRNA from 1 species